UACAGAGGGUGCAAGCGUUAAUCGGAAUUACUGGGCGUAAAGAGCUCGUAGGUGGUUUGUCGCGUUGUUCGUGAAAACUCACAGCUUAACUGUGGGCGUGCGGGCGAUACGGGCAGACUGGAGUACUGCAGGGGAGACUGGAAUUCCUGGUGUAGCGGUGAAAUGCGCAGAUAUCAGGAGGAACACCGGUGGCGAAGGCGGGUCUCGUGGGCCGAUGACUGACGCUGAGGAGCGAAAGCGUGGGGAGCAAACAGG
rnacentral:rRNA from 1 species